GCGUACCGUACAUAAGUUUCGGUUUUUGCUGCUAGUUGGCUAGUAUAUUUUCGAUAUUAAUAAAUUAAUUUUAUUUCCGUUUAAAGUGCACUAUGGGGUUAUAAUUUUGAGAAAUCUUUAUGAAUACUCAUUUCAUUCGCCAGAAUGACUGAUAAUAAUUCAAACCUUUAUAUUUUCCGGAAUCUGGAAGACGUUCCAGUUUUGCCUGAACCGAAGAAUGAUUUCUUCUCUCAGGUGUUCAGACAAGGGCGUUCAGGCAGUUUUUGGCCCAUAGCGUCAGCUUUGGGGGCUGCGUGGGGGGUUUUUGCUUGGAAUGGCUGGCAGGGGUUACCUCCCUUUGCGAGAAUUUGGCGACUUAUUGGGUGUUGUACGGGUGCUUACUGGAUUGCAGGAAUGACGGAUCAUAUAUCCACUAAAGGAUAUUCUGAACGGGAUGCUAUGAUGCACCACUAUAUCAACCUGCACCCUGAGGAUUUCGUCGAGGAGGCUGCACCAAAAUUGAAGUACGUGUUGUAUCCUUGGGCACCAAAACGUGAGAGCUGGACUCCGUUUGACAAGGACUACCACAUCAAGUGAGGAUCCCUAAAGGUGUCUUGGAUUUCUGCUGGGCUGCUCACCCGAAAGAACUGACAUAAAGAACUGCUUAAAUUCAGUGCGAUGCCUAAUGCAUCGAUACGGGAGCCUUUGUCAUUGUAUAUACAAUACUGUCUGCAACCGGCCAUUUGAUGCAAAAGUUUGAAGAAAGGCGCAGGUUUUUCGCAACCGGCAGGUGUGUUUGACUGUUUGCAGUUUAGUUUGAGUUUGUUACUGUAUGUUCUAGUGUGGUGCUAAAAUUUCUUGUGGUUUCUCGUUUGCCGCAGUAUAUUUAACUAGGACUCGAGACUCCGAGAGCGUGAAACAAUUAAGUAAGGUAAAAUAAAAUUCCACUUUUGGA